rnacentral:rRNA from 1 species
UACAGAGGUCUCGAGCGUUAGGCGGAAUCACUGGGCUUAAAGCGUGUGUAGGCGGACCCGUAAGUACUUUGUGAAAUCCCACGGCUUAACCGUGGAACUGCUUGGUAUACUGCGGGUCUUGAGCCACCUAGGGGCGAGCGGAACAGAUGGUGGAGCGGUGAAAUGCGUAGAGAUUAGGAAGAACACCAGUGGCGAAGGCGGCUUACUGGACUGUAACUGACGCUGAGGCAUGAAAGCGUGGGGAGCAAACAGG